ACUGAAAAUCCUCGUU
rnacentral:tRNA from 1 species